rfam:Desulfotomaculum hydrothermale Lam5 = DSM 18033, WGS project CAOS01000000 data, contig: ABX_2590_11
UCACUGGUAACGGUGGGGUCUGAAGGAAGCUGAAGAGGGAACUUGGAACAUAGCGAAAGCGAACCGAUGUUGGCCUAUCGAGUGGGUAACCUUGCAAUAUAUGGGAAAGCCCAAAAGCUGGAUAACUCGAAAGGUUAGGACGGAUGCGUUCAAGUUCAGGCAAGCAAA